rnacentral:rRNA from 11 species
CCCCGCUGCCAAGGGGACCUUCUAAACUGACCCACAAAGUGGUCUCGACCUGGCAUCCAGGUCAUGGAAGCUAAGCAGGGCCAUCCCUGGUUACUACGUGGAUGGGAGACCACCAAUGAGUGCCAGGCGCUGUAGGCU